ACAGCGUACUGAAGUUGUUGAUGAUGAGUCGUGGAUUAUGGGCUUCUUAGACGUCAUUGAUCCAGCGAUUGACAGCAUAAAGAGGCUCUUGAAUCUAGAUCAGAACUCUUACUACAAGGUAAAAGAGUCUGCUUCUAAUACUACUGCUGGAGACGACGUUGAGGGGAGCACAGAAGAAUCAGCUUCUCCCUCCUCGGCUAACGUCAAUGACAAUAACAUAGAUACAGG
rnacentral:misc_RNA from 1 species